rnacentral:rRNA from 1 species
CCUACGGGGGGCAGCAGUGGGGGAUAUUGCACAAUGGGGGGAACCCUGAUGCAGCGACGCCGCGUGAACGAAGAAAUAUUUCGGUAUGUAAACCUCUUUUGCCGGGGAGCAAAGUGCCGCACGUGUGCGGUUUGGAGAGUACCCGGAGAAAAAGCAUCGGCUAACUCCGUGCCAGCAGCCGCGGUAAUACGGAGGAUGCGAGCGUUAUCCGGAUUUAUUGGGUUUAAAGGGUGCGUAGGCGGACGCUUAAGUCAGCGGUAAAAUUGCGGGGCUCAACCUCGUCGAGCCGUUGAAACUGGGUGCCU